UACAUCCGGCACCAGUGCACGUCCUCGCCGAAGAUGGUGGCGGCCAUGCGCGGCCAGCUCGCCAAGGUCGAGUCGGAAUCACCAGCCUCGCUUUCCAGGGGCCCGGCAAGGUUCCGUUCAUGAUCUCGUGGCGCAAGUACGUCGACACGUUCGACGAGGACGGGAUCACCCUCAACGCCGAAGCUCACGACAUCCGCUUCAGCUAUCUGCAACCUGACGAAGUUCUGUUGGCACGCGACCUCAUGAACCGUCAGAUCGUGGAUACGCAGGGCAUGAAAGUCGUGCGCGUCAACGAUCUCAAGCUGUCCGUUUCCGGCUCGCAGCUGCGCCUGCUGGGCGCCGAGGUGGGCACGCGCGGCAUCCUGCGCGGCCUGGCCCCUUGGCUCGAGCGCGCCGUGGUGGCCGUGGCGAAGCUGUUCGGCAAGAAGAUCGACGAGCAGAUCAUCGCCUGGAACUACAUGGACCUGCUCGAUCGCGACCUGUCCGAAGUGCAGCUGUCCGUCACGCACAAGCGCCUGGACGAGCUGCACCCCGCCGACGUGGCCGACAUCCUGGAGCAACUGGACCCCCAGCAGCGCGCCAACGUGUUCCAGCAUCUGGACGAUGCGCAGGCCACCGAGGCCAUCUCCGAGAUGGACGACGAGUACCAGGCCGACUUCAUCGAAGACCUCGACGACGCCCGCGCCGCCGGCCUCUUGGGCGACAUGGACCCGGACGACGCGGCCGACAUCGUGCGCGACCUGUCGUACGAGAAGGCCGAGACGCUGCUGCGCCUCAUGGGCGUGGAGGACGCCACCGAAAUCCGCCGCCUGCUGGGCUACAAGGACGGCACGGCCGGCGGCAUGAGCGGAGAGAUACAGGGCCGCGAAGGAAGCGACAGCAGCGAUCAUGGACAGAACGUGGUCGUUCUUCGGCAGCAGCCAGCCGACGACGGCGGCGAUGAGCACGAGGAUCAGGUUCAUGAGACCCGUGUUCUCCUCUUUAUGAUAAACCUCAAUGGCAGCAAUGCCUGCCAGUGCAAGCAUAAGGUAGCGAAAUUCCUUGUCGGGUAAGUUCCGACCUGCACGAAUGGCGUAACGAUCUCCACACUGUCUCGGCCAGAGACUCGGUGAAAUUGCAGUCGCGGUGAAAAUUCCGUGUACCCGCAGAAAGACGGAAAGACCCUGUGCACCUUUACUAUAGCUUGACAUUGGAUUUUGGGCCUGCAUGUGUAGGAUAGGUGGGAGGCUGUGAACCCUGUACGCCAGUAUGGGGGGAGCCAUCGUUGAAAUACCACCCUUGCAUGUUUAAGAUCCUAACUUCUUCCGGUCAUCCCGGAGAAAGACAGUGUCUGGCGGGUAGUUUGACUGGGGCGGUCGCCUCCUAAAGUGUAACGGAGGCAUGCAAAGGUUCCCUCAGCCUGAUCGGAAACCAGGCGCUGAGUGCAAACGCAUAAGGGAGCUUGACUGUAAGAGAGACAUCUCGAACAGGAACGAAAGUUGGCGUUAGUGAUCCGGUGGUCCCGAAUGGAAGGGCCAUCGCUCAUUGGAUAAAAGGUACGCCGGGGAUAACAGGCUGAUCGCAUCCAAGAGUUCACAUCGACGAUGCGGUUUGGCACCUCGAUGUCGGCUCAUCACAUCCUGGGGCUGAAGCAGGUCCCAAGGGUACGGCUGUUCGCCGUUUAAAGUGGUACGCGAGCUGGGUUUAAAACGUCGUGAGACAGUUUGGUCCCUAUCUUCUGUGGGCGAAGGAGAAUUGAGAGGGCCUGUCCCUAGUACGAGAGGACCGGGAUGGACGCACCCCUGGUGAUCCUGUUGUCGCGCCAGCGGCACAGCAGGGUAGCUAUGUGCGGAAGGGAUAACCGCUGAAAGCAUCUAAGCGGGAAGCCUGCCUCAAGAUAAGUUCUCCCCUCGAAAGAGCUGAAGGGCCCGGGUAGACUACCCGGUCGAUAGGCUGGAGGUGUAAGCGUGGCGACGCGCUCAGCUGACCAGUACUAAUAGCCCGAGUGGCUUAUUUUU
rnacentral:rRNA from 1 species